rnacentral:rRNA from 1 species
CCUACGGGUGGCUGCAGUGGGGAAUAUUGGACAAUGGGGGCAACCCUGAUCCAGCCAUGUCGCGUGUGUGAAGAAGGCCCUCGGGUUGUAAAGCACUUUCAGUGAGGAAGAACGCCUGGUGGUUAAUACCCAUCAGGAAAGACAUCACUCACAGAAGAAGCACCGGCUAACUCCGUGCCAGCAGCCGCGGUAAUACGGAGGGUGCGAGCGUUAAUCGGAAUUACUGGGCGUAAAGCGCGCGUAGGUGGCUUGAUAAGCCGGUUGUGAAAGCCCCGGGCUCAACCUGGGAACGGCAUCCGGAACUGUCAAGCUAGAGUGCAGGAGAGGAAGGUAGAAUUCCCGGUGUAGCGGUGAAAUGCGUAGAGAUUGGGAGGAAUACCAGUGGCGAAGGCGGCCUUCUGGACUGACACUGACACUGAGGUGCGAAAGCGUGGGUAGCAAACAGGAUUAGAUACCCUAGUAGUC